rnacentral:rRNA from 1 species
GACAGAGGAUGCAAGCGUUAUCCGGAAUGAUUGGGCGUAAAGCGUCUGUAGGUGGCCCGGUAAGUCCGCUGUAAAAGUCAAAGGCUCAACCUUUGAAUGUCAGUGGAUACUGCCGGGCUAGAGUCCGGAAGAGGCGAGUGGAACUCCUGGUGUAGCGGUGGAAUGCGCAGAUAUCAGGAAGGAACACCAGCGGCGAAGGCAGGCU